UCUACACGCCUGAGCCCAGACCGAGACCCAGAGAAAUGUAAACAGGCACGAGUCAGACUUGAUAUAACGCUGAAUUUGUUGCUUUUUAGAGGGGCAGUCGGUCUGUACAUGCGUGAGGUGGCGAGGGGCGUGGCCAGGGGGCGGCUAGUAGCGUGUGCCACCAUGGAAAUAUGUACAGACAUAAAGAAGACGCCCUCAAGAAAGAGGGGCAGUCGGUCUGUACAUGCGUGAGGUGGCGAGGGGCGUGGCCAGGGGGCGGCUAGUAGCGUGUGCCACCAUGGAAAUAUGUACAGACAUAAAGAAGACGCCCUCAAGAAAGACUACCCCAUCCCCUGCCUCCCGCUGUGCCCCCACCCAGACACCACGGCCCAGCAGUGACGCCAUUCCACCUGCUACACGACGCUGGCUGACGCACUCCAGACGUGGCAGCAACAGGAGGUGGAGGGCAGGAGCAAGAGUCGGAUGGAUGGCGAAGGAAGUGUGCAGGUUGGCAGUAAACCUCCCUGAAGGUUCCAGAACUGCUCACCAAGUGUCCAGCCCAGCCUGUCACAAGACUAUGUGACAGUGGACCUUCCACUCAUACUGAAAACAGCUGUGCACUGCCACUCCACAGGAAGUGGUGACCACUCUAGAUUGAGUUGUCUUGAAGCUGAGAUGAGUUGGUCGGGUAAUGAGUGACUUGCAUCAAGUGACCGUGAGGUGUUGGACGUUGAUAUUGUGUUAUUGCAAGUGUAACCAGUAAUAACAGCGUUCGACCGUUUCUCUAGGGGCAAGCGACACCUCCUGGUGGGGGACUUCAAAUCUGCUGUCGCUGCCUUCGAGGAGGCAACAGAGUCCCUGGUGGAGCUGUGUGGGGAGCAGGCGCCCGAGUGUGGUGACGCGUACUGCCGCUGUGGCCGUGCAUUGCUGGAGCUGGCACGCAAGGAGGCAGGGGUGCUGGGGCCAGAUCUGGAUGGUGCCAGUAGUCAGGAGGGAAGCACAGGGGAAGAGGAGGACGAGGAGGAAGAGAGUUAAGAGUCACAAGAGGAGGAGGAAGGUGGAAAGAAAGAGGAAGGAGAGGAGGAGGAGGAGGAGGAGGAAGAUGGAGAAGGAAAGGAGAAAGAUAAGAAGGAAGGAAAUGCUGCAGAAGGAGAAGAGCAAUAAGACAUUAGAAUUGACAGAGAAACCAGACAAGGGACUGCAUUUGAAGAAGCACAAGAACCAAGAAAUUACAUCAUUCAAUGAAAUGACAACAUAAUCUAAAAUAGAAAUCAAAAACGUCACAAGACAGAAUAGUGAGCUGCAUGCACUUAUCACAGAGUAUAAAGUCACUCCCUCAGAGGAAAAAGACAAGGAUGGCAUGUCUUCAUGUGAGAACUCAGAAGCUAAAUGUACAGAUACCAAGGGGAAAUUGCUGGGUCAAGUGGCUACACUGACAUCUGAGGUUAGCAGGUUGGAGAGUGAGUGCAGCAGUCUUCAGGUUCAGCUAGACUGUGAGAGGGAUAAGUAUAACAAACUGCUGGGAGAAUCUCUUGCUCAUGAAAAGUUGUCUGAAGAUGUCAUAACUGAACCAAAAGGAGAAACAACAGGAUUGGGAGGAACUGAGCUUUAACAGAAGCUGCAACAACUGCAGGAGGCUCACAGGGUCCUGGAGAGCAGGUUAACUUGCAGCAUGAAGGAGGUGGCUGAGCUAAGUGACAGGAAGUAGCAGCUUAAGCAUGCUGUAGUGCAUGAGGAGACAGAGUCCAUCGGUGUAUGCAUGUUUUUUGCUCAUUUGAAUCAUCUGUAAAAGUGAAGUGGAGGAAGUGUUUACUGUUUACUGUAUGCCAUUUCCUUGGUCUUUUAAUGAAGAAUUUUAUCCUUCUUCAGGUGACUACAUCACCAUCUACCAGUUGCAGCGAGGAGUGAUGAAGCAACAAGCUCGAGAACGCGAGUUAGACCUUGCCAGCCUCCAUCAUGAAUGAGAGGAAAUGAAGCAAAACCACUCUGCAGGAUUUGAUAUCAAAGCUGGUGCAGGAAAAGGAAGCAGAUCAUGACCUUCAGCAGCUCGAGAAGAUAAGCAGCGUCCUUAAGAGUCCAGUUGCUAUCUUUAGCAGUGUUGGAACCAGUGAGUCUGAGACACCCACCACCAGUGGAAAGGUGGCUGACGAGCGCCUCAAGCACUCUGAAAAGGUGGAGCAACAACAAGAAACAGAAAAUUGCAUCCAUCAUUCUUUGCCUGAGGAGGGAAUUGAUGCUCUGUUGACCCUUCACACUGAUGUCCCUCAUGAGGAGGGAGAAUAUGAAUCCUACAGAACUUGCCCAUAGGAAGACCAAAACUGUUACUGCUGCCACACUGCCACCACUUCCACUGACACCAAAAGCCCAACUGUGCAGAGAAUCCUGGACCUCCGCAAUGAAAUGGAGUCCACCAGUCACCUGGAGCACUUUAGCCUCCAAAAGUUCCAUCCGUGUCCAUUGUGUUUGGGUAAACUUAUCACUGUAUAAGGGGACAAGUAUCAGUGUAUGGUUACUAUAUACUCAUUUGUACUUAAAGAUGUCAUGUCACAUCAUUCUCUCUCUCUCUCUCUCUCUCUCUCUCUCUCUCUCUCUCUCUCUCUCUCUCUCUCUCUCUCUCUCUCUCUCUCUCUCUCUCUCUCUCUCUCUCUCUCUCUCUCUCUCUUUUCUUUCUUUCUUUCUUUCUUUCUUUCUUUCUUUCUUGCUUUCUUUUGUUGCAUAUGUUACUGCUUUACAUUCCUCCCCACAGUAUUUUUUCAUCUACUUUAUGACUGCAGUAGUUUUAUCAUCCCAGUGUAUGCUGUAUCCACUCUGAAACUGUAAUUCACCAAUCAGCUCAAAUGUGUCUCUGUUUUGAUAAUCAUUAAUUUGUUUCAGCUACACAACCACUCUGAUAAGGGACAAAAUCUACUUCACCAGUCAUCUAUGUCAUACAGUCAUAUAUAUUCAUACAUAUGACAAAAUACUCUUCCUAAGACAUUUCUUAUUUUCUCUUCUCAAGUGACCUGUCCAUCUAUCUAAGGUACCACAUAACAUUUAAAACUUACAAUAUUGUGUUUAAUUCAUGAACACUUUUUUGUCUAUCUAUGGAGACUUGCGUAUAGACUUGAAAUGUAUUGGGAGUUUUCUUUAUCUCUCAUUCUAUACCUAACACCUGUUCCUAAGAAUCCCCAGGUGAUAGCCAUGGUGACUGGCUGGUCUCCUACUGAGUGGCUGGGGUUUUCCAAAAGUGAGGGUUGGUGUUCCAUACCAUACCAUGUGCCCUGUUUGUAUUCCUUCUUUGUCCUCUGUAUUAUAUUCUAUGUAAAGAUGGUGCUGGGGUGGGAUCUACUUCUUAUUCCCUAAAAGUGAUGAGGAGUGACACUGGGCAGCAUUGAUUUGCUCCUUAGAGAUGGCUGGGUUCCUGUGGAUGAGUGGGCCAUGCUGUGCUUUGUCAAGGAUGGUGUUUGGUAUUGUGAUGACUCUUGCCACAAUCAAGUGCCUCCCACAGAGUAGUGGAGUACCUAUGUAUGGUGUUGACCCAAGCUGUCCAGGUCUCAUCCAAUGCCUUAAUAUGAUUUAGAUGAUCAAAAUGGUUUAACUCACCAUUUAAUCAGCUGACUGAUUUGAAUGGAGAAGUAUGUAAUGUGUUGUAGCCUAACCAUCCCUGCCAGCAUGGUCAGAUUCUUGGUAGUAACCUGAAAUGCUCCUAGGUAGUGAGUAUCAUUGCACAUAAUGAUCUUUACUUUGUCAGUAAUUCAAUGAUACUGAAUAUUACUCUACUGGAUUUUGCUCACCACUGCUUGGUAACUUUUGGCCAUAAUCCCAGGUCUGGAAUGAUAUGAAGCCAUGUUUUUACAUUCCAUAUGAGACAGGCAAGCACUAUGCUUUGCCUGACUGAUACCUGUACUUUACAUUUAUGACCCCAGGUAGUUCAUCACUCUCUCUCUCUCUCUCUCUCUCUCUCUCUCUCUCUCUCUGUUUGGAAUUAUACUGUAUAUUAGGAAAUAUCAUUAAAGAGUGUGUGUGUAAAAAGUGUUUGCAUUAUUGUGCAUUUGAUGUUAUAGCCCCAGGUUCUUAAAGUUUUCUAGUUUCAUGAUUUAUAAAGAUUGCUAUUUUUAAUAAAGUUAUUGAAAUUGUUA